rnacentral:lncRNA from 1 species
UUUAUCUGUAGAUUUUUGUAUUUUGAUUUCUUCAUCAUUCCAUCAAUACAGAUAAUAAAAUUAACAUCAUUGCAAGAACUUGUUUAAAAAUUAAAGGAAAAUUACAUACUGAAAACCAAUCCUGAAUUUUGCAUGGGACAUGUUUAAACUGGGUUAUAAAAUCUUACAUAUUUAAUCUCACAGAGAAAAAGCUCCUGCUGGUUGGACCCAGGUUAUUCGAACUCAGAAUUCAGAGAUGUCUUCUUCCCUUGAGUCAGUGCUUUGUGGAGGAUCUACAAGACUUCCCCAGGCUGUAUGCGCUGGGCUGCAGAAUGCUGAGGGAUAUCAGUGGUGCAUCUAAGAAAUUCAUUUUGUCUCCUGGAAAGUCAAAGCACUCUUCUUGACAGGUGCUGUGAGGAGGAACAAACUGGGCUGGAUUCAUGCUGCAAAGAUGCAAUUCCUUCAUGAUAACUAGAGAGAGAAGCAGUGAGAGUGAUAAGUUAGCAAACUAAGCUGGAACCUUGGAGGGGAGAAAGAACAAAAAUGGUUCUUUCUAAUAUGCAAAGAAACAAAUAAGCAGUUCUUAGACCAGCUUUUGGAUUUUUGCAUUUUCAGUGUCCCGUUCAAUCUUAUCUGACUUGACUAAGCCAACAGAUCCUUUAAAGUAAUACCUGUGACCGAAGGGGAAGGUUGUGCUUAGGUUUGAUGGUGGAUUUUCAGUUUAAAAUUUUCCACCACACUGUCACAAUUUUGAAGUUUAUUUAUUUGCUCUGCCAAGGUCCACUUCCUCCAAGAGCGAUUACCAAAAACAUUUGUGCAGUGAUAAUCCUUCUAGAUUUACACUCUCAACAUGCAGUUCACCAACUGGGAUGAGGACUAUACAAGGAUUAAAGCAAAUUUUGAUAAAAUUAUAAUGUAAUGUAAAAACUGCUUCCCUUGCUGCUGCAAUUCCUCUUUCCCCAGCUACACAAGCAUGUGUGUUAUUUUCCUUUGUUUUCUAUGUUUCAAUACAAUACCAUUAAUGUUGUAAAUUUUGAUUAAAAGGUGAGUAGUUUGUGCAAGAGAACACUUCUGGAAAGCAUCACUUUAAUUCACACAGUUGGCACACUAUUGGAGUCCUUUCCAAUAUCAAUUCUAUCUAGUUCUUCUCAUAAAUAUUCACAGAAAGCAGUCCUUAGCUUUAAAACCUGACCCCAGGAUCCACCAGUCUUUCCUUCUCACUAACACUAUUGGACAGGGAUUUUUAUCUUUGUAAUCCUGAGGAGCAUUGUCAUGAUAAUGCUGGUUUCUAAAUAGCAGGAGGUAGUAAUUUAUUGAAAUGAACACCAGAAUAUGUAUUUUUUACAUUCUUUCAUAGAUCAGAAACCUGAGGGUGUUUUGCUCAAACUUUCUCAAGAAUUUUACCUUUAAGCAGAAAAGAGAAUUGAUCGUUUUAAAAUAAAGGAGCUGUGCUUUAGAAAAUCUUAAGCAGGGACUUCCAAGUUUUGCUUAACAUGAGAAAUCAAAUUAGGAGUGCUAUAAACAAAAUUCAGCUCACUGCAAUGCCUAAAUUAAUACAAUGAUUCAAGCAAGGACUUUUUUGCAGGUUUUGUGUGACCUGCAGGACAGUCUGGGAAGUUGUGGCUCAGAGUACAUGGAAACAAACAUAACUGAUAGUACUUGGUUUUGCUAUACUACCUAUUACAUUCAAUGAAGUUGAAGACGUGGCAGUAGCAUAGAUAAGAAAAGCUCAACAAAUUCCCCAGUCAAUACACUUUUCUUGGUUAAAACUCACUAUGGAAAAUGAUGUGGUAGAAUUUCACACAGAUGCACUGUCAGAUAAACCUGACAUGGUCUGUCUGCAAGCCAGCUGUAAGGAAAAUUUGACACUUUUCAAUUGCUGUCUGCCCAGGAAACCUCUGCUUUUCCAUUACUCAGAUUAUGUCUAAUUUAGGGUAUUUCGUACAUUUAUCUCUUGGAGAUGAUAUAUAGAGCAGUAAUGAAGAAAUACACCAUCUAUCAAGGCAGCAUGCUGUAGAAAUGAGUUCUAGAGCCCUGAGGUGUUGUGAUGGGAUUAACGAGGUGUGGUAGUUACAACACCCUGAUGGGGUGAUGGGCUGCUGGAUGGGGUGAUUAGGCGAUCAGGCAGAGGCUCGAUGGCUCUUAUUGAUGCCUCAGUUGAGUGCAAAUAGGGAGCGGUGGGAACUCUUUGCUGUUGCACAAGACCCACAGCCCUUGAGCAGCCUGACCAAAUUGGUUAUAACCAGAAACUAAUCCCAGCCACACCCAGCCCCUCUGAUUUCUGAGUACUGGCUGGAAUGCAAGGGCGUUCAUUUUCUGCCAAAUUUCUACACUCUUAACACAAUUUAUGCCGAAAAUAGAAGUCUGAACUCAGCUGCAGUCUUCUGUCUGUCCUGCUUGCCUGACCCCUGCGAGCAUGUUGCUCAGUGGGAGAUGGGGGAUUAAUCAGAAAAGUAGUAAUGAGAAAAUAAACUGGGUACAGACUCUGCAAACUCUUUUGCUCACGGUUCAUAUCUAAUACUAAGUAGCUGUGGAACUCUUUGAGGCCAGGAUCGAGAAGGCGUGAUAGGCAGUGCCAGCACUGACACAUGAAUCUCAAUUUCCUUGUGAUAUUAUUAUGCCAUGAUAAAGAUUAUUACAUUAUUAUCACAGCCCGGUAAAGCUUUCUCACUUCCACUCGGGUCAGACUGAUUCUAAAGAGAGCUCCCCGUGCGUUGCUACAUCUCUGUUGUAGAAACCACAACUGUUCAAAGGAAGAUUAAAUAACGCAGGAGGUAAGUAAGUGUUAAAGGCUGCCACAUUCCUCAAGCAGCAGUUUAUCACCUGUGUUAAGGGAGAGAACUGCUACCACACAGAAAUCAGGAUCACGAUGCUAUUUUAACUAUAAUUUACACUACCUAUGUCCUUUAACUUAAACUAUAUGUUGCAAUGAGUCAGCUAAUACAGAAUAAGAUUUAAAGGAAGUUAACGCAUUAGUGUAGCAGGACCUAAUUCAGCUUGAACUAACGUGCUACUACAUUCAAUGUGAAAUACAGACUAUCUUGGGAACACAGCUGCAUACUUUGUGGACCGCGGUCUUGAAACAGCCAAAGGGAUUAAACUAGUCUAACUAAUAGUAACGAUCCUCUUCUUGUAGAAAUAGUCACUGGAAUUGCUUUAUGUUCUCCCAGGUGUCUGCCUGGCUCUGGUGCCCCCCACUUGGGAGUUUUAUAAGGAAAGAGAACAGGCCAGGC